rnacentral:rRNA from 1 species
UACGUAGGGUGCGAGCGUUUAAUCGGAAUUACUGGGCGUAAAGCGUGCGCAGGCGGUUAUUUAAGUCAGGUGUGAAAGCCCCGGGCUCAACCUGGGAAUUGCGAUGGAGACUGCAAGGCUUGAAUCUGGCAGAGGGGGGUAGAAUUCCACGUGUAGCAGUGAAAUGCGUAGAGAUGUGGAGGAACACCGAUGGCGAAGGCAGCCCCCUGGGUCAAGAUUGACGCUCAUGCACGAAAGCGUGGGGAGCAAACAGG